rnacentral:rRNA from 1 species
AGUGAACGCUGGCGGCAUGCCUAAUACCUGCAAGUCGAAGGAAGUGGCGCACGGGUGAGGAAUAUAUAGCUAAUCUGCCCAGUGCUGGAGGACAAACGUUAGAAAAGACUGCUAAUAAUCCAUAGCAAGGGAUGUGAGUAUAUCGUAUCAGCUAGUCGGUGGGGUAACGGCGUACCGAGGCUAUGACGCGUAACUGGUCUGAGAGGAUGGUCAGACAAAUUUGAAGUGAGACACGGUUCAAACUCCUACCGGAGGGAGCAGUAGGGAAUAUUGCGCAAUGGGCGAAAACCUGACGGAGCAACGCCGCGUGGAGGAUGACACUUGUCGGAGAGUAAACUGCGUUUGUUAGGGAAGCGGUACCUAACGAAUAAGCACCGGCUAACUCCGUGCCAGCAGCCGCGGUAAUAC